rnacentral:misc_RNA from 1 species
GAUGAAGAACGUAGCGAAAUGCGAUAAGUAAUGUGAAUUGCAGAAUUCAGUGAAUCAUCGAAUCUUUGAACGCACAUUGCGCCCGCCAGCAUUCUGGCGGGCAUGCCUGUUCGAGCGUCAUUUCAACCCUCGCAGCCCAUCUGGGCAGCGGUGUUGGGGACCGGCACCACCGGCGAAGCCCUUAGGGGCCCAGUCGGCGCCGCCCCCGAAAUACAGUGGCGGUCUCGCUGCAGCCUCCCUUGCGUAGUAGCACACCUCGCACCGGAGCGCAGCGCGGCCACGCCGUAAAACCCCCGACUUUCUGAGUUUGACCUCGAAUCAGGUAGGAAUACCCGCUGAACUUAAGCAUAUCAAUAAGCGGAGGA